GCACUUUAAGUUGGGAGGAAGGGCAGUUACCUAAUACGUGAUUGUUUUGACGUUACCGACAGAAUAAGCACCGGCUAACUCUGUGCCAGCAGCCGCGGUAAUACAGAGGGUGCAAGCGUUAAUCGGAAUUACUGGGCGUAAAGCGCGCGUAGGUGGUUUGUUAAGUUGGAUGUGAAAUCCCCGGGCUCAACCUGGGAACUGCAUUCAAAACUGACUGACUAGAGUAUGGUAGAGGGUGGUGGAAUUUCCUGUGUAGCGGUGAAAUGCGUANAUAUAGGAAGGAACACCAGUGGCGAAGGCGACC
rnacentral:rRNA from 1 species